GGGGGUAUAGCUCAGUGGUAGAGCAUUUGAC
rnacentral:piRNA from 6 species